ensembl:lncRNA
ACGAACUGAGUGAGUGAGUAAGUGAGUGCGUGUGUGUGUGUGUGUGUGAGUGAGUGAGGCGAGAGUGAUUCAGUGAAUCAGUGAGUAGGUGGAUAGUUGCGGACUGAGUGAGUGAGUGCGUGUGAGUGAGUGCGUGCGUGCGUGCGUGAGUGGGUGUGUGAGGACUGAGUUUUGUGUGGAAGGCGCUGCCCACCUCUUCUGCACCUCCAGGAAGAAGGAGUCGGUCCUCUUCAUCUGCAGUUCGUACAUGGCCCUCAGGAUGUGAAGCGGUGCGUUCAGAGCAUCAUGGGUAAUCUGGAACCCAGCACAGCACGCGGCCCCGUUGGCCCCCUCACCUGGAAGCAGAUCUUGGUCUCCUCGUCCAGGCCCUCCAGGGGGUCGGGCCGGCUGGGGUCCCGGGGCUCCUCAGUGCAGCAGCUGGAGUGGUCCGAGUCCUGCUCCCGGUCAGGCUCCGGCUCCCGCUCGUCGCGCUCGGGGUCCUGGGCCAUGGAGUGGAUCUCCCUCUUGGAGGAGUACAGCAUGACGGAGAGGAUCUCCAGGUCGCGCAGCAGCCACAGCUUGCUGAAGCCCGUCCCCUUGCUGCACUUCCUCACCAGCAGCUGGACGGCCCCCAGGCAGAAGAGCAGCUGGGUGGUCUUCCAGCCGGGGGUCUCGGUGCCGGCCGCCUCCAGCUGGGCCAGCAGCUCGUACUUGUCGGCCAGGGCCUCGCCCACGGCGCCGUCCGCCUCCGCCGGGGGGAUGCGCAGCAGCAGCUGGCCCAGCAGCCCCAGGGUCAGGUGGUACGUCUCGUCCAGGCAGCCCGCGUUGGACACCACCACCCGGAAGAGCUGGGGCAGGAUGGAGCUCAGGCUGGGCAGGGACAGAC